AGCCAUCGGUGGCGGACGAGCGGGCCCCCCUCCCAUAAAGACGGCGGCGACGAGGUGGUGGAGUUGCGCGGUGCGAGCCCCAAGCCUCAAGGCAGCGGCGAGACGAACCACGACGCCGCGCAGGGGUGGUUUUUAACUCGAGAAUCCUUCCAGUCAAUGACAGGUAUGGCCCCACUUGUCAUCCGUCUCGGUUCGUCUCGUUGGAUGCGCGUCGUUGGCUCGUGGGCUCGGACUCGGAGGCGCGCUGCGCGAAUGGAGGAAGGCGAACCCCAGCCCUGGGGCUCGGUCGUGGGGCGGCGGGCGUGGAGGUGAGGCAUCUCCGGGCUCUGCUACGCCGGCAACCCCUCCCCGCGCGCCGCAGGAGCUCCCGCUGCAUCCUACCGCCUCCCGCCUUCCUGCUGUCGUCGGUCGUGGCGCGCGGCCGCGGCAGCCGGCAGGGCACGACUGGGAGGCGGCCCCGCACCGGUGGACAGUGAGUUUGCUAGCCGCCCUGUGUCGUUAUGUUGCCAGACGAUUCGUUGAUGUUACCAUGGUAAUCCACAUAGAUACGUCGAAUUUGAAGUGCUUUGUAUUUCUCAUUUCUUCGGCUUCGAGAACAGCAUCGUAUGUCGAAAUUCUCAGUUGAAACCUUGAUCCAUGGCGUAGUUUCAGCGGCGGAUUUGGUUGAUUUGGGGAAAUUUUGAUGCCGCCGGCACCUGGGUAGGUGGUGGCGCGGCCUAUUCCUGCAGUUGGUAGCUGGAGUGCGGCCAUGGUAGCACCAGCUCUACCACGGAAUUGUGUUGUUUCCUUUAGCUAGGGAGGUGCCCACCAAUUGUUCGAUGGAAGAGCUGAACCAUGGCCGUGAGAAUUCUGUAUAAAAAUUGGAAUUGCUGUUGCUCAGAGUUGAAAUUGGAUUCAGGCAGAUCUUUGUCUUGACUUGUUUGUGGGUAUCUUGUGAAUCAGUAGUUUGUACCUUUGUUCUUUUCAAUUUGUUUCAGCUUGUUACCCUCACUGAUAAGGUUGUCAAAUAUUGAUGCUGUUUGGCCCUGUUGGGAGGUUGGAAUGAAAUUUACCGUGACCCUUAAGAAAAAGGGUCGAAGCUGUAGCUGGAAUCCGUAACUAAUCUGUGUUUUUUCUAUGUAAAACCUUUUUUUCAAAAGAACUUCUGUGUGGAACCUGGAUGGUGUUUUGUUAACUAAACAGCUAGGAGGACUUUGCCUCCAUAUCAUUGCUGUAGAACAAUGUUAUCUCCCAUCCGUAUUAUCUUCUUCAGGACAAAAGAGUUAUAUGGCAAUUCCCCCUGCUUUGAGUGCAAACUGAACCUGUCAGCAAUGCGAGCCCAUAAUGUUUCUAGUCUGAUGAUUUCCUACUCGCACUGGCAUCUUCAAAUUUUGAUUGCUGUGAUUUGCAACUCUUGAUACGUGUUUCUCAUUUCUUCUGUCUGGGGAAUAGAUUGUCUGUUUCCUAUCGCUGCUUGCUUGUCAGAUUGUAAAGUCGGUGCCCUGUUUAAGCAUAGUGAAUAUUCUUAGAAGACUGGAGUCACAAAAAGUUGCUCUACUGUUGUGAGCUUUGUGAAGAAAAUCGGAUUCAGGAUUUGGCCUGUGGUUUUUGAAGGAAGGUUUUGAACAAUAAAGUCAUGCAGGAGCUGCUGUAGAAGGUAGCUGUGCUGAUGAAGUGGAGGAGGAUUUUAUGCACAGUUAAGGAACUACAUGUUGGGGAGAAUAUGGGACAUAUUUUCAGAAGUUCUAGUGUGGAAGAUCUUUUUCUAAACUUGUUUGUGGGGUAUAUUCUGUAUUGUAGUUAUGGAUCAACAGUAAGUACCUUUGUUCUUUUCGAUUUGUUUCAGCUGUUACCCCUCUCUGGUAAACAGUGCAGCUGCGAGGAGGUGGUAGGGCUUUGCCUCCAUUUUCUGAAAAUAGUUAGAGAACAAUGUUAUAUCCCAUGCAUAUCAUCUUCUGCAGGAUAACAGACUUCUAUUGAAAGGAAGACUUGUGCUGUAGUCAUCCGCAAACCUGUAGGUUGUGCAAGUACCCCUAAAUCCCGUGGUGUUGGGAAUUUGCUUCUGAGUUCUGAAUAUGGUUGUAAUGAGAGCCCUGUCUGCUCUGACUGUGCGUAAGGACUGUGCUCUGCAUUGUGGCUUGUUGGCAGGUGCACAGUCCUUGUAGCUGAUCGUGUUCGACUGGGAGGUGGGAGCUGACACCCUUGGUGCUCCAAUGCUUGGCUGCAAUCCCUGCUUGCUAUGGAACCUUCCUGAGCAUUCUAGAAAGUGAAAUUAUCCAGAUACUUUUACCUGAGGGCUCAUUACCAUGGUUGCAUUGGCAACAAUAUUUUCCUCGUGCAAACCUAUGCUGAGGGCUCACUGGUGAAGUCAUUUCUUCAAAUUCAGUAUUAUGUAUUGCUUGAAGCACUGUACUGUUGCAUUUGGUGUUUAUGAUGCAGGGUCGAGCAGUUACCCUAGUCGACAGAGAAGUCGAGCAGUUACCCUAGUCGACAGAGAAGGGUCAAUGCCUCAAUGGUUUGGAUGCCCAAGUGCUCUUUGUUGGCCGUCAUUGCUCCAAGUCGUUCCCUGCUGCAGAAUACAGUGGAAUUCAAGAGGAUUGCAUCUAUUGCAUGUGCGACUACUAUUGCAGGCCUGAUCAUAGUGCAGGUACUCUUCAUGACUCUGGAGUGUAACAUAAGAUAUGGGAUGACAACACUGUUUUUAUCAGUUGUCACAGAAUGUGGAAGUGCUGCAGCAUCAUGGUGGCCAGUGGCACCCCACAUGGAUCUUCCCUGAUGAUUCUUUGCAAUGGAUCCAGCUUAGUUUGCUCACUAAGAUUUUGCUAAUGGCUGCUUACCAGUGUCUCAAUGAUUUGCUGUUGAACAGAAUUAAUGAUAGGUACUCGACCAUUCUCAGCUGUGAGAGGUUCAGCGUACACUCCCAUUCACUUGAGUUUGAAUCCUCAUUCAGUUUUCCCUAUUACCUUGUUCCCAAGACUCAUGCAUUAUGUGCGCAAGCAAUAUUUGAUGCUUGUCUUUGUAUGGGUCGUUCUGAUCAUUGAUCUGUUCAAA